rnacentral:rRNA from 1 species
AUUGAACGCUGGCGGCAUGCCUUACACAUGCAAGUCGAACGGCAGCACGGGGCAACCUGGUGGCGAGUGGCGAACGGGUGGGUAAUGCAUCGGAACGUACCUUUCAGUGGGGGAUAACGUAGCGAAAGUUACGCUAAUACCGCAUAUUCUGUGAGCAGGAAAGCAGGGGCUCGCAAGACCUUGCGCUGAUUGAGCGGCCGAUGUCAGAUUAGCUAGUUGGUGAGGUAAAGGCUCACCAAGGCGACGAUCUGUAGCGGGUCUGAGAGGAUGAUCCGCCACACUGGAACUGAGACACGGUCCAGACUCCUACGGGAGGCAGCAGUGGGGAGUUUUGGACAAUGGGGGCAACCCGGAUCCAGCCAUGCCGCGUGAGUGAAGAAGGCCUUCGGGUUGUAAAGCUCUUUCGGCCGGGAAGAAAUCGCACGGGCUAAUACCCUGUGUGGAUGACGGUACCGGAAUAAGAAGCACCGGCUAACUACGUGCCAGCAGCCGCCGUAACAC